UACGUAGGUGGCAAGCGUUAUCCGGAAUUAUUGGGCGUAAAGAGCGCGCAGGUGGUUAAUUAAGUCUGAUGUGAAAGCCCACGGCUUAACCGUGGAGGGUCAUUGGAGACUGGUUGACUUGAGUGCAGAAGAGGGAAGUGGAAUUCCACGUGUAGCGGUGAAAUGCGUAGAGAUAUGGAGGAACACCAGUGGCGAAGGCGGCUUCCUGGUCUGCAACUGACACUGAGGCGCGAAAGCGUGGGGAGCAAACAGG
rnacentral:rRNA from 1 species